rnacentral:tRNA from 1 species
GAGGUUGUGACUCAGUGGUUAGAGUGCUUGCCUAGCAUGUGUGAGGCAUUGGGUUUGAUCCUCAGCACUACA